rnacentral:rRNA from 1 species
UACGUAGGGUGCAAGCGUUAAUCGGAAUUACUGGGCGUAAAGCGUGCGCAGGCGGGUUUGUAAGUUUGUCGUGAAAUCCCCGGGCUUAACCUGGGAAUUGCGAUGAAGACUGCAAGGCUAGAAUCUGGCAGAGGGGGGUAGAAUUCCACGUGUAGCAGUGAAAUGCGUAGAGAUGUGGAGGAACACCGAUGGCGAAGGCAGCCCCCUGGGUCAAGAUUGACGCUCAUGCACGAAAGCGUGGGGAGCAAACAGG